rnacentral:rRNA from 1 species
CAGAGACUGCGAGCGUUAUUCGGAUUCACUGGGCGUAAAGGGUGCGCAGGCGGCCAAGUGUGUUAGGCGUGAAAGCCUGGGGCUUAACCUCAGAAUUGCACCUAAAACUACAUGGCUAGAGCAUUGGAGAGGGUAGCGGAAUUCACGGUGUAGCAGUGAAAUGCGUAGAUAUCGUGAGGAACACCAGAGGCGAAGGCGGCUACCUGGACAAUUGCUGACGCUCAGGCACGAAAGCGUGGGGAGCAAAAGGGAUUAGAUACCCCUGUAGUCCACGCCCUAAACGGUGCACACUAGGUCUUGGCGGAUUCGACCCCACCAGGGCCCAAGCUAACGCGUUAAGUGUGCCGCCUGAGGACUACGGUCGCAAGACUA